AUGGGUGUGGUAUAGUGGUGAGUAUUCCCGCCAUUCACGCGGGUGACCAGGGUUCGAUCCCCGGUAACGGUG
rnacentral:tRNA from 1 species